ensembl:lncRNA
AGCGGGGCAAGUUGGUGUUCUUUUAAUUCUUUUCCGUGAAAGCUUGAUGCGGGUCCCCCUAAACUUCUGUUAGAACGGUGGGAAACAUUGCUCCUGUGAGAGCAGUAUAGUGGACUUCACCGCCACUGACCCACAUUUAUUAGGGUGUGACACGAACUUGUGGACAGAGUACCGAGCUGCUGCUUUGCCAGGUGGAUUUCUGGCUGCGGGCAAAGGACCCGACAUAUCAGUGUGUUUUAAUUUGUUUUAAACUGGUGUAAUUCGACAGACUGACUGCUGCGUCUGUCGGUUGUGUUUUGUGUUUUGUUUUAUUUUUCUGUAUCAGUAGGCACCACAGAUAUUGAUUCUUUUAGUGUUUUAACCUUUUUAUAUAUAUAGAUAUAUAGUCGCGGACGGUGAAAGCGCUGCGUGGAAAACAAAUCCUUGUUUUUUUGUUUUUUUUUUGUCUCACCACUUUUGCAUGCACAGCGGUGGGCCUGAGUGAAGACGGCACUGAAGAUUUGCCUUUUUCUACAGUGUUUUGCCCAUUUGGGGGUUAUGUGUGAGUUGCCGUUCCUUUUUAACCUGUGUGCUAUGUUGAUUUGUUCCUCACGGGCA